ACUUAAUGAGUUUGGCCAAGUGGUGGGCUCAGAUGUACCAGGAUGGACAGACAGCCUCUUCCAUGUGUCAGUCUCGCCAUCAUACCUACGGCUGCACCAUACCUGUGGACAAAGUAUCAGCACAGGUCUGAUGUCCUAGCUGAAAUCCAGACACAUAGAUGUUAUAACAGCACUGGAUGCAGCAGGCAGUACCCACCUGAGGAGCCUAUGCAGGUCAAGCCCAUCUGACACCAGCGGAACGACUUUGAAGAAUGAGGGCUGGUGAAUGCUUCUACUGUGGUCAGACUGGCCAUUUCCUCACCCCCUGCACCCUCCAGCCAAAAGGGGGAGCUCGCCAGUAGGAGCGGGGAUACUGGCGAGUAAAACUUCUUCCAUAACACCGCCAGUUUCAGUACCCCAGAUCUGUCCACCAUUCCCAAAGAAUAUCAUGACCUCAGUGAAAAGUUAAAAAUAAGUAUUCACUGCCCCUGAUCAACUCUGCCUUCAAGCCCCUUCGCAAAGCCACCGUUUUCUCGAAACUGGACCUAAGAAACGCCUACCAUCUGGUUCGGAUCUGAGAUGGAGACAAAUGGAAAAUCGCUUUCAACACCCCCCUUGGUCAUUUCGAGUACUUGGUUAUGCCCUUCGAUUUAACCAAUGCCCCUGCAGUGUUCCAGGCCCUUAAUAAUGAUGAUGUUAAUGAUGUUCCCUCAACCGUACAGUGUUUGCAUAUCUUCGAACAUAUUCAACAUGUUCGACAGGUGCUGCAGCAGUUCCUGGAUAACAAACUGUUUGUAAAAAGCAGAGAAGUGCGAAAUUCACAUCAGCUCAGUGAACUUCCUGGGUUACAUCAUCAAAGGUGGGCAGGUGAAGUGGCAGAGACCCACCUCUGUGAAGCAGCUAUAGCGGUUCCUGGGCUUUGCUAAUUUCUAUCGACACUUCAUUUGUGACUACAGCCGUGUGGCUACACCUUUAACUCAGCUCACCUCUCCAGCCUUUCCUUUCUGCUAGACCCCUGAGGUGGAACAUGGUUUUGCUGAACUGAAGAGGCGCUUCACCACCACUCUAGUUCUGGUCCAGCCGACCCCAGUUGCCAGUUCACUGUGGAGGUGGACGCCUCUGACACCGGGGUCAGAUCAGUCCUUUCCCAACGCUCCACCACAAAACAGAAAUUCCAUCCCUGUGCCUGCUAAACGCAACUAUGAUGUGGGAAACCGUGAGUUGCUGGCUGUGAAGCUUGCAUUGGAAAAGUGGAGGCACUGGCUUGAGGGAACUGAACAUCCCUUCAUUGUCUGGACGGACCAUUAAAAACCUCACCUCCAUCCAGACAGCUAAACGCCUUAACUCUCGCCAAACUCGCUGGCGUUUGUUUUUUUGGUUGCUUCAGGUUUAUGCUCACUUAUUGGCCUGGGUAUAGACAUGUUGACAAUUGACAAUUGUACACCUGGUUUAGGUUGACUAUAUAGGUUGUUUGCCUCAUGAGUCCAUUUUGUCCAUUUUGACUCUGAUGAAACAGUAGUGUUGAAACGUUAGUCUAUUUGCACUAUUAAGAGCUGUGAAUUAAUCUGUGUGCUCCAGUCCCUUUUGUCCUCCGGACUUCUUUUUUCCCUUUUUAAUAAUAAAACUAUUAACGAUACAUUUUAAAAACACUUUUUUACAUUAUUUUUGACAACAAAAAGAAUGACUAAAUGUGUUUUCAGUUGAACUUUAAGGCAUCAAUUGGGGGGAUCCUGUCUUUAAUGUAUGCCAGCAGAAAACCUAGGAUGUUAAAUAGUUUAAUAAAGGGAACACAUGAAAAGAAACCAUGGUAGACAUAUGAAUCCUAGUCAUGUUUAAUCACACUGCCAUACAUCGAAUGUAAUGUCUUGACAGUUCCCUUCAUAUAAAAGUUACUUAAAUCAAAUAUACUUAAGACAUCAGUUAAAUAAUUAUUGUCCUACACAAUAACUCUGCCUUUUGGGGGGCAAAAAAAAAAAAACCCAAAAAAAACACUUGCAUUAUUUAUGAAUAAAUCUCAUUAAGUUGGCUUGCACUUUAGCAGCACCUCACACAGAUUUGAAGCUGUGCUGAUGACAUCUUACACUCACUUUACAACCUUUGAACCCAGCUUAGAACACACCCAGAACAUAUUAAUAAUAGGAAACAGGGAGUGGUAUGA